rnacentral:lncRNA from 1 species
UUUUAUUUAUUUUACUGCUGCUAUUUUUAUUUAUUUUACUGCUGCUAUUUUUAUUUAAUUUAUUAAGGUUUAUUUAUUUUAGUUACUAUAGUUUAUUUUAUUUUAUUUUAUUAAGGUUUAUUUAUUUUUAUUUACUAUAAAAAAAUGAACAUAGAUGCGCCUAUAGAGAAAAUUCAACCUAAAUUCAUAAUAAAUUUCUAUGAAAUUCAAAGAAAUUUACUGUGAAUUUAGGUCAAAUUCCCUGUAUAAGGGCAUCUAUUUUCACUUUGAGAGNNNNNNNNNNGUCCCGGUUGGUGGCACCAACCGGGACCAAAGGCCUUGUGCUGCCCCGCGUCAAAAGUUUAGUCCCACCUCGCUAGUUGAGAGGGCUCGAGAGUGGUUUAUAAGCGCUGCUGCGCCCACCCUCUCGAGCUCCUCUCAACUGCAGGCUUUCGGGCCUAACCGUUCUCUUUGCCUGUGGGGCCUACUGGGCCUUCUGCGGGCCUGAAUCCUGGCCCACGGAUGGGUUUCAAGUCGUAUUCAGGCCGUGGUGGCCCAGUAGGUGGCAUAAUGUUUUUUCUCUCUUUUUUGUUUUCUCUUUUGCUUUAUUUGUUUUGUUUUGUUUCUACUUACAACAAAAAACCUAUUUAUUUUAUUUCUAAUUACUUAUGUAUUUUACUUUAAUUAUUUUAUUUUUAUUUAUUUUACUGCUGCUAUUUUUGUUUAUUUUAUUAAGGUUUAUUUAUUUUAGUUACUAUAGUUUAUUUUAUUUUAUUUUAUUAAGGUUUAUUUAUUUUAUUAAGGUUUAUUUAUUUUAUUUACUAUAAAGAAAUGAACAUAGAUGCGCCUAUAGAGGAAAUUCAACCUAAAUUCAUAAUAAAUUUCUAUGAAAUUUACUGUGAAUUUAGGUCAAAUUCCCUGUAUAAGGGCAUCUAUUUUCACUUUGAGAGGAGCUCAACAAGGCUGAGAGGGACGGGCUUAUAAACAGGUGUGAGCGCCCUUCGGUUGGCGAGGUGGGACUAAAC